GAUGAACGCUGGCUACAGGCUUAACACAUGCAAGUCGAGGGGAAACGACGGGGAAGCUUGCUUCCCCGGGCGUCGACCGGCGCACGGGUGAGUAACGCGUAUCCAACCUGCCUCUGACUGAGGGAUAACCCGUCGAAAGUCGGCCUAAUACCUCAUGGCAUCGUCUGCGGGCAUCCAACGACGAUUAAAGAUUUCAUCGGUCAGGGAUGGGGAUGCGUCUGAUUAGCUUGUUGGCGGGGUAACGGCCCACCAAGGCUACGAUCAGUAGGGGUUCUGAGAGGAAGGUCCCCCACAUUGGAACUGAGACACGGUCCAAACUCCUACGGGAGGCAGCAGUGAGGAAUAUUGGUCAAUGGGCGGGAGCCUGAACCAGCCAAGUAGCGUGCAGGAUGACGGCCCUAUGGGUUGUAAACUGCUUUUAUGCGGGGAUAAAGUGAGGGACGUGUCCCUCAUUGCAGGUACCGCAUGAAUAAGGACCGGCUAAUUCCGUG
rnacentral:rRNA from 1 species